GGAGAGAUGGCUGAGCGGCUGAAAGCGGCGGUCUUGAAAACCGCUAGGGCCUUCGGGUCCUCGCAGGUUCGAAUCCUGCUCUCUCCG
rnacentral:tRNA from 1 species